rnacentral:rRNA from 1 species
AACGAACGCUGGCGGCAUGCCUAACACAUGCAAGUCGAACGAGACCUUCGGGUCUAUGUGCGCACGUGUGCGUAACGCGUGGGAACCUGCACUUAGGUUCGGAAUAACUCCCCGAAAGGGGUGCUAAUACCGGUUAAGGUCUUCCGACCAAAGAUCUAUCGCGUUUGGAUGGGCCCGCGUUGGAUUAGCGGGUUGGUAGGGUAAAAGCCUACCAAGGCGAGGAUCCAUAGCUGGUCUGAGAGGAUGACCAGCCACAAUGGGAAUGAGACACGGACCAGAAUCCUACGGGAGGCAGCAGUAGGGAAUAUUAGACAAUGGGCGAAAGUCUGAUCCAGCAAUGCCGCGUGAGUGAUGAAGGCCUUAGGGUUGUACAGCUCUUUUAGCCGGGAUGAUAAUGACAGUAACGGGAGAAUAAGCUCCGGCUAACUCCGUG